GUCCCGAUAGCUCAACGGUAGAGCGCAGCUGCGGUUCGUUAGGUGCUUCUCUAGUGCACAUGAAAAUUACAGUAUAUCGCAGAGACGUUGGUUCGACUCCAACUCGGAUA
rfam:Stereum hirsutum FP-91666 SS1 unplaced genomic scaffold STEHIscaffold_2, whole genome shotgun sequence.